rnacentral:rRNA from 1 species
AUUGAACGCUGGCGGCAGGCCUAACACAUGCAAGUCGAACGAGUGGCGGACGGGUGAGUAAUGUCUGGGAAACUGCCCGAUGGAGUGGGAUAACUACUGGAAACGGUAGCUAAUACCGCAUACCAUCGGAUGUGCCCAGAUGGGAUUAGCUAGUAGGUGGGGUAACGCCUCACCUAGGCGACGAUCCCUAGCUGGUCUGAGAGGAUGACCAGCCACACUGGAACUGAGACACGGUCCAGACUCCUACGGGAGGCAGCAGUGGGGAAUAUUGAACAAUGGGCGCAAGCCUGAUGCAGCCAUGCAGCGUGUAUGAAGAAGGCCUUCGGGUUGUAAAGUACUUUCAGCGAGGAGGCGUUACUCGCAGAAGAAGCACCGGCUAACUCCGUGCCAGCAGCCGAGGUAAUU